GGACGCGGGGUGGAGCAGCUUGGUAGCUCGUCGGGCUCAUAACCCGAAGGUCGUCGGUUCAAAUCCGGCNUCGCUCCA
rnacentral:tRNA from 1 species